rnacentral:rRNA from 1 species
UACGUAGGGUGCAAGCGUUUAAUCGGAAUUACUGGGCGUAAAGCGUGCGCAGGCGGUUUUGUAAGUCUGUCGUGAAAUCCCCGGGCUCAACCUGGGGAAUUGCGAUGGAGACUGCAAGGCUAGAAUCUGGCAGAGGGGGGUAGAAUUCCACGUGUAGCAGUGAAAUGCGUAGAGAUGUGGAGGAACACCGAUGGCGAAGGCAGCCCCCUGGGUCAAGAUUGACGCUCAUGCACGAAAGCGUGGGGAGCAAACAGGAU